UUUUCAGGACUUGCAGUACAAAAGUGAUUCCACAUAUUCCGAGCUAGAAAGGUCAAAGAACAAGACAUGAAGUAGUUUGUGUCAAUUAACACUUGCCAGAAGUAAAAUGCUGAUAAGAUAUGAAGAUGUGGUUUGUCAGUCAAUGUUUGGCAGAAAUAAAAUGGAUAUAAGCACUAAGAAUAAUUAUUGGAAGUGGAAAACCUUUUAGCUUUUACAUUUUCAUCUUGCAGAUUAAGCUACAUUAACCAAUGCAUGUAACAUAUAAUGACUAAAUGACACAACGAAAAUAUUUGCAAAUUCACUGGAACAAGGCUUGAGCUGGUAGUCUCUGUGUUUUGCAGCAAGAAUAAGAAUGUAAGCAGAUACUAGAUAUCAAAUAAAAGCUUUACAUAUCUGUUUUAGUAA